UUUGUACCAGCCUGACAGCAUCGUUUAUUGAUAACAUCCAGACUGAUGAUUUGUUCCUAUUCUCAGCGAGCCCUCCACAGGGCACUACUACUGGGCUGGUAGCGUAGCAAGAAAGAUGCUUCCCCCAGCAGCAGGCUCUAAGAAGCCCCAGCCAAGACUAUUUCAGGCUACCUAGAUCUGGGGCAUUCCGUGCAUGUCACUGGUUCCUGAUCCAAGCGACAAAGAGCAGCUGGAGUGCUUUCCCAGUGAGGACAGCUGGAGCUCAGGCCUGGCCUCCCAGACUGUGCAUACUUUGGCUGUGCAGCGCUGCUGCUAUAGCACAUCCUCAUCUCGCACUGCAGGGACAUUGGUGGCCAGGGUUUCUCUUCGACUCUAGGUUAGACCUUAUAACCGAGCCACCAAUGCAGCCACUUUUGAAUGUGCCUUUCACUCUGUGCUCCAGAACCGGCCAUCGCUGGAGAGAUAUGACACAAAAUUUGGAAGCAUUUCCAACCUCAAAAAAAUAAAAGUUUUUCUGAAUUAAAAUUUGUGGUCAUGGAAACUCAAAUUUAAAAAUCAGAUUUUCUAACUGAAUUGAAGGCUAUGCAAUUAAGCAAAUGAAUGACUAAUGAAAUUAUUAUAAAGCACUUAGCAGAAGCAUUAUGCAAAUUCGAGUGGAGAAUAACAAGACGUGGUGACAGUUGCAGUGUUGGUGCUCUUAACUUGGGGGAGCACAGUUCCCAGUCCUCCCGCAGAGAGGGAGGCACUGGUGCUCAAAAACACAUUACUGUCUUGACAGCUCUGAAGCUGGCCCUUUGGGAGAAGCUGGUGUCUUCACCGCAGGGCGGGGGAUUUGCCUGUAAGCCCGAGCAGCCCGCCUGGCAGACAAUUUGGCACGGCCUCAGGCAGGACGGCUGGGAGAAGCUCUGCAAUGUGCCAGGCAAUGAUCCCUCGAAGACCCCUUCCCCAGCAGAACACUCUGCAGCCUCAGGGAUUUGCAGCCGUUUCUGUGCUUGAGGAUAACCGUGCACACACCUGAGCAGAG
ensembl:lncRNA